ACCAAGCAAGCGGCACCAUGAAGAUCAAGGAGCUCUCCAAACAGCACAUGGAUUCAUCAUGGAUUGGGCACAGGUCUCUGAUCGCGCUGGUGAACGGUAGCUGACAGUAAUUUUGCUGAGGUCUUCUCUGUUGCUAAUUAUCGAGAGCGAAUUACACGGAUAUCAAAACGUCACGCCAAGAUUUGAAUUACGCAAUUUCUAACAAUUGGUGACCUCCGAC